rnacentral:rRNA from 1 species
CAGUCGCCACGGGAAUACGGAGGGUGCAAGCGUUGCUCGGAAUCACUGGGCGUAAAGGGUGCGUAGGCGGGUCUUUAAGUCAGAGGUGAAAUCCUGGAGCUCAACUCCGGAACUGCCUUUGAUACUGGAAGUCUUGAGUCCGGGAGAGGUGAGUGGAACUGCGAGUGUAGAGGUGAAAUUCGUAGAUAUUCGCAAGAACACCAGUGGCGAAGGCGGCUCACUGGCCCGGUACUGACGCUGAGGCGCGAAAGCGUGGGGAGCAAACAGGAUUAGAGACCCCAGUAGUCCCUGUCUCUUAUAC